rnacentral:lncRNA from 1 species
ACACCGAACCAUUUCGGCAUACAUCACAAACACACGAAAAACACAAGCAUAUACAAGCAACAUAGGACCUCAACUGACAGUUCCCAAAACUUGUAUUACCACCACCCACAUUACACAACCAGUUCAUCACCACAUUCUUCAGACUGACCCGACCAACAGACCGACCGAACCGACGACUUCCAAACAACUCGAUUAUUACCCACAAGAAAAGGAAGGGAAGAAAAUAAAUAAAAUAUCGGACUCUCUAUAACUGACAAUAAGACUGGCUUACUCAGCGCGCCUCUAAGCCAAAGCCAAAGGGGAAGGGUAUAAAUGAAUGAAUACGGAUCUGGGACGACGACCGACCGACACUUCUAGACACGGGGAGGCUGGGAGGGAGGGCUCAUGAUUUUAUGAUUACAAGAUAUGAAACAAUGAAGGGGUAUGAACAGAUAGAUAGACACCCUAGGGACCGACCGACGCAACGAAAGAACGAAACCAACCAUAUAUAUAAUAUUUAUAUAUAUCAGCACCGGAUUUCCUAAAAUACGCAAUAUGCGAAGGAGAACUUGUCCAAGACGGAUGGAUGGAUGGCCCCAGAAGUUUUCUCAAGACCGCUGCUGGCGCUA